UACGUAGGCAGCGAGCGUUGUUCGGAGUUACUGGGCGUAAAGCGUGCGUAGGCGGUGUCUUAAGUUUGUUGUGAAAUCUCCCGGCUUAACCGGGAGGGUGCGGCGAAUACUGAGAUGCUGGAGUGCGGGAGAGGUAAGCGGAACUCCCGGUGUAGCGGUGAAAUGCGUAGAUAUCGGGAGGAACACCUGAGAUGUAGAUGGCUUACUGGACCGUAACUGACGCUGAGGCACGAAAGCGUGGGUAGCAAACAGG
rnacentral:rRNA from 1 species